rnacentral:miRNA from 1 species
UGAUCCAUAAUAAGUGUCAGG